rnacentral:rRNA from 1 species
UUUCCUACGGGGCGCAGCAGUGGGGAAUAUUGCACAAUGGGGGGAACCCUGAUGCAGCGACGCCGCGUGAGCGAUGAAGUAUCUCGGUAUGUGAAGCUCUAUCAGCAGGGAAGAAAAUGACGGUACCUGACUAAGAAGCCCCGGCUAACUACGUGCCAGCAGCCGCGGUAAUACGUAGGGGGCAAGCGUUAUCCGGAUUUACUGGGUGUAAAGGGAGCGUAGACGGCGCGGCAAGUCUGAAGUGAAAGGCAGGGGCUUAACCCCUGAACUGCUUUGGAAACUGCCAUGC